ACAUAGUUGAGGAGUCCCACAAUAGGACGAAACGGCCGUGCAGUAC
rfam:Schistosoma margrebowiei strain Zambia genome assembly, scaffold: SMRZ_contig0003237